rnacentral:rRNA from 1 species
CCUACGGGUGGCAGCAGUGGGGAAUUUUGGACAAUGGGGGCAACCCUGAUCCAGCAAUGCCGCGUGUGUGAAGAAGGCCUUCGGGUUGUAAAGCACUUUUGUCAGGAACGAAACGGUGGGGGCUAAUACCUCCUGCUAAUGACGGUACCUGAAGAAUAAGCACCGGCUAACUACGUGCCAGCAGCCGCGGUAAUACGUAGGGUGCGAGCGUUAAUCGGAAUUACUGGGCGUAAAGCGUGCGCAGGCGGUUGUGCAAGACAGAUGUGAAAUCCCCGGGCUUAACCUGGGAAUGGCAUUUGUGACUGCACGGCUAGAGUGUGUCAGAGGGGGGUAGAAUUCCACGUGUAGCAGUGAAAUGCGUAGAUAUGUGGAGGAAUACCGAUGGCGAAGGCAGCCCCCUGGGAUAACACUGACGCUCAGGCACGAAAGCGUGGGGAGCAAACAGGAUUAGAUACCCUAGUAGUC